ACAUUUUGUCACUGUGACUACCAAUAACCUGAUUUUCGGCAAUGGCACAAAACUUACAGUAAUGGGGAAGAAUGAUGAAAUCAUACCUCCAUCUGUGGCCAUCUUUUCCCCAUCAAAGCAAGAGAUCCAACAGAAGAGCAAGGCCACACUGGUAUGCCUGGCCUCUGGUUUCUACCCUGACCACCUGAAUCUGUUCUGGAAGGUGAAUGGUGCUAAGAGGAGAGAAGGGGUGGGGACAGAUGAGUUUUCCACAAAGAAUGGGAGUACCUACUCAUUGACAAGCCGACUGAGGAUCUCAGCCGAGGAAUGGUUUAACCCUUUGAACCGUUUUGAGUGUGUUGCAAAAUUUUUUAAGAAUGGAACACUGGAAUCGAUACACAAAUUAAUCAACGGUGAUGCUGGUUGUGCAGUCACGGAAGGGACCUACCUGUGGUAUGGAAAUUCCCUGAAGCUCACUUACCUGAUUCUCUGUGGCAAAGCCUUGGUCUAUGCAGUUUUGGUGAGCAGUCUGGUGUGGACAGCCAAGGGUGGUGGCAAGUUGUAUAGAGAAUAAAUGAAGAGUCCUCUUCAUCACAUCAGCAGGAACACAGCAAAUUAUACUUUCUAACUUUCCUUAGCAAAGAAUCCAUGCAUCUGUCUAAAAAAUUCUGAAUAUUAUUUCUUAGUGAUUGUCUGUCCCCCUCCUGUUAUUUCCACUUUGUUGUAAUCACUGAUGGGUUUUCCCUGCACUUCGACAUCAUAUUAUAUUGUAUUGUAUCAUGUCAUAUUGUAUAGUAUCAUAUGUUUUAAGCAGACACCUUUAUAAUGCUCAGAGGCUGAGAACGCAGCUCCUUGAAUUAGGAAUAAAGUUUUAGCUUAU